rnacentral:rRNA from 1 species
UGGCGGGGUAACGGCCCACCAAAGCGACGAUCAGUAGCCGGCCUGAGAGGGUGGACGGCCACAUUGGGACUGAGACACGGCCCAGACUCCUACGGGAGGCAGCAGUGGGGAAUAUUGGGCAAUGGGCGCAAGCCUGACCCAGCAACGCCGCGUGGAGGAAGAAGGCUUUCGGGUUGUAAACUUCUUUUGUCAGGGAACAGUAGAAGAGGGUACCUGACGAAUAAGCCACGGCUAACUAC